rnacentral:rRNA from 1 species
CCUCGGGACGCAGCAGUGAGGAAUAUUGGUCAAUGGGCGGAAGCCUGAACCAGCCAAGUCGCGUGAGGGAAUAAGGCCCUACGGGUCGUAAACCUCUUUUGCCGGGGAGCAAGGGCCGGGACGCGUCCCGGCCCGGAGAGUACCCGGAGAAAAAGCAUCGGCUAACUCCGUGCCAGCAGCCGCGGUAAUACGGAGGAUGCGAGCGUUAUCCGGAUUUAUUGGGUUUAAAGGGUGCGUAGGCGGGCUUUUAAGUCAGCGGUAAAAAUUCGGGGCUCAACCCCGUCCGGCCGCUGAAACUGGGGGCC